GACGAACGCUGGCGGCGUGCUUAACACAUGCAAGUCGAACGGAAAGGCCCUGCUUUUGUGGGGUGCUCGAGUGGCGAACGGGCGAGUAACACGUGAGUAACCUGCCCUUGACUUUGGGAUAACUUCAGGAAACUGGGGCUAAUACCGGAUAGGAGCUCCUGCUGCAUGGUGGGGGUUGGAAAGUUUCGGCGGUUGGGGAUGGACUCGCGGCUUAUCAGCUUGUUGGUGGGGUAGUGGCUUACCAAGGCUUUGACGGGUAGCCGGCCUGAGAGGGUGACCGGCCACAUUGGGACUGAGAUACGGCCCAGGCUCCUACGGGAGGCAGCAGUGGGGAAUAUUGCACAAUGGGCGGAAGCCUGAUGCAGCAACGCCGCGUGCGGGAUGACGGCCUUCGGGUUGUAAACCGCUUUCGCCUGUGACGAAGCGUGAGUGACGGUAAUGGGUAAAGAAGCACCGGCUAACUACGUG
rnacentral:rRNA from 1 species